GACGAACGCUGGCGGCGUGCCUAACACAUGCAAGUCGAACGAGGUCCAUCCUUCGGGAGAAGACCUAGUGGCGAACGGGUGAGUAACACGUGAAGAACCUGCCCCGAAGACCGGGAUAACCCUCCGAAAGGAGAGCUAAUACCGGAUACCCCCACCGAACCGCAUGGUUGGUGAGGAAAUGGAUUCCGCUUCGGGAGGGCUUCGCGGCCUAUCAGCUAGUUGGUGGGGUAACGGCCCACCAAGGCAUCGACGGGUAGCUGGUCUGAGAGGACGAUCAGCCACACUGGGACUGAGACACGGCCCAGACUCCUACGGGAGGCAGCAGUGGGGAAUCUUGCGCAAUGGGCGAAAGCCUGACGCAGCAACGCCGCGUGGGGGAUGAAGGCUCUCGGGUUGUAAACCCCUUUCAGCAGGGACGAAUCAAGACGGUACCUGCAGAAGAAGCCCCGGCUAACUACGUGCCAGCAGCCGCGGUAAU
rnacentral:rRNA from 1 species